GGCAAAGACAGAUCACCAACUUUCCUUUGAUGGAAAGUUUUGCCAUUUUAAAUUGAUGAAUUUUAAAUAUUUGCUUCGCUGAAUCUCUCAUAAUAGCAAGUUUUUGAUGGAAUCGUGAUGUGAAUGAUUAGGUCAACGUUCAAUGUACAGUUAAAAAUAAGUUGAUCAUCACUAUAUUAGAGUCAGCAUUUAGUCUCAUUAUUAAUUAAAUGCAUAAAAAUGUGGUAUUAAUUAAGGCAAAUCUCAAAAAUAGCACAUUUCUAAGUUUAUAUCACAAAAAUAGCACUCCAAAACUAAAAUGACCAAAAUAGCACAUUUCUAAGUUUAUCCUUUGAAAAUUUUAAUUUUUUUAUUUUUCAAAAUUUGAAAUCUUAACUCCAAAACCUCAUUUCUCAACUCUAAACCCUAAACUCUAAACCCUAAACCCUAAACCCUAAACCCUAAACCGUAAACCC
rnacentral:lncRNA from 1 species